CGAUCAGGAUUAGAUACCCUGGUAGUCCAUGCCGUAACGUUGGGCACUAGGUGUGGGGGACAUUCCACGUUCUCCGCGCCGUAGCUAACGCAUUAAGUGCCCCGCCUGGGGAGUACGGCCGCAAGGCUAAAACUCAAAGGAAUUGACGGGGGCCCGCACAAGCGGCGGAGCAUGCGGAUUAAUUCGAUGCAACGCGAAGAACCUUACCAAGGCUUGACAUUCACCGGACCGCCUCAGAGAUGGGGUUUCCCUUCGGGGUCGGUGGACAGGUGGUGCAUGGUUGUCGUCAGCUCGUGUCGUGAGAUGUUGGGUUAAGUCCCGCAACGAGCGCAACCCUCGUUCUAUGUUGCCAGCACGUGAUGGUGGGGACUCAUAGGAGACUGCCGGGGUCAACUCGGAGGAAGGUGGGGAUGACGUCAAAUCAUCAUGCCCCUUAUGUCUUGGGCUUCACGCAUGCUACAAUGGCCGGUACAAAGGGUUGCGAUACUGUGAGGUGGAGCUAAUCCCAAAAAGCCGGUCUCAGUUCGGAUUGAGGUCUGCAACUCGACCUCAUGAAGUCGGAGUCGCUAGUAAUCGCAGAUCAGCAACGCUGCGGUGAAUACGUUCCCGGGCCUUGUACACACCGCCCGUCAAGUCACGAAGGUUGGUAACACCCGAAGCCGGUGGCCUAACCCCUUGUGGGAGGGAGCCGUCGAAGGUGGGACCGGCGAUUGGGACUAAGUCGUAACAAGG
rnacentral:rRNA from 1 species